UACAGAGGUCUCAAGCGUUGUUCGGAAUCACUGGGCGUAAAGGGUGCGUAGGUGGCGUGGUAAGUCAGAUGUGAAAGCCCGGGGCUCAACCUCGGAAUUGCAUCCGAUACUACCAUGCUAGAGUACUGAAGAGGAAACUAGAAUUCUCGGUGUAGCAGUGAAAUGCGUAGAUAUCGAGAGGAAUACCAAAGGCGAAGGCAGGUUUCUUGGCAGUUACUGACACUGAGGCACGAAGGCCAGGGGAGCAAAC
rnacentral:rRNA from 1 species